UACAGAGGUCUCAAGCGUUGUUCGGAUUCAUUGGGCGUAAAGGGUGCGUAGGCGGCGCGGUAAGUCGGGUGUGAAAUCUCGGAGCUUAACUCCGAAACUGCAUUCGAUACUGUCGUGCUUGAGGACUGGAGAGGAGACUGGAAUUUACGGUGUAGCGGUGAAAUGCGUAGAUAUCGUAAGGAAGACCAGUGGCGAAGGCGGGUCUCUGGACAGUUCCUGACGCUGAGACGCGAAAGCGUGGGGAGCAAACAGG
rnacentral:rRNA from 1 species